AAGAUGUAGUUCAAUGGUAGAACAGAAGCUUCAUACGCUUUUAACAAAGGUUCAAUUCCUUUCAUCACUA